rnacentral:lncRNA from 1 species
CCUCCUGGUCCGCUCUCUGUGAUCCAUGAAGCCAUUGAAGACUGCACGGUUAAUGGAUACCAUGUUUCAGCUGGCACUUGGCUUAUUAUGAAUCUUCAUAAGAUUCAUCAUGAUCCACUUAUAUGGGCAAACCCUUUUGAAUUUCAACCUGAAAGAUUUAUAACUACCCACAAAGACAUUGAUGUGAGGGGACAGAAUUUUGAACUAGUUCCAUUUGGAAGUGGUAGAAGAAUGUGCCCCGGAGUUUCAUUUUCACUUCAAGUUUUACAGCUUACGUUGGCUAAUGUGUUGCAUUGGUUUGAGUUUGAAACCCCAUCAGGCAUAGCAGUCGAUAUGCGUGAAGGACUUGGGAUAACGAGUUCUAAAACAACUCCAUUAGAAGUUCAUAUAACUCCUCGCCUUCUUGCUUUUGUUUACAAUUCCACUAACCCCAUUAGAGCUUACCCUGGGUAAUUUGCUGCAUUGGUUCGAGUUUCAAACUCCAUCAAACAAUCCAGUCGAUAUGUCUGAAGCAGUCAAAUUAAUGAGUCCUAAAGCAACUCCAUUAGAAGUUUAUAUAACUCCUCACAUUCCUACUUAUGUUUACCUAUAAUUAUAAUAAAUAAAUUUUUAGUAUUAUUACUAUAUAUAUCUUUUUGCUGAUUUAAUAUAUUUAUUUAUUUUGAAUAAAUAAUUUUAUUCAAAACAUGCAUUAUCAAUAAUCGUGUUGAAAGAACAUUUCAACAUACUAAAGCAUAUGAGAACGAAAGUCGAUUGGAACCUUACCCCUGUAUUGGUGGAUAUCAAUGUACUACUAAAGCAUCAAGUUGGAGUUGUUUAUUGGGCUCUUCUAAGAAAAAAUCACAGAGUUCAUUUCAUAAAGAUAUAAUUUUAGCUAAAUCAUAAAUUUAGAGUUGUUAUGCCUCCGCUGCUUGGAUCUACUCCUCACGAAAGCUCCACCUAUUACUCGGACAUAUCUUUCGGGAACAUUCCUUGACCUAACUGUCAUAUUAAUUUAUGUGAGCUCUACUCAUUAAUCGUCACUAUUCAACCUCACUAUCGUGUUUCAUCUAAAGUGAUUGAAAGCACGUCCAAUCGCCACCCUAUCUAAAUCUAUGGUGACAAACCAUUUGGCCCAUUAUUCCUGACUUGCUAAUAGAGACGUGACAUAUGGCAUCUCGAGAUUGUAGCUAAGGGUUUAAAAUCUCUCAAAUCUAACUAGAAAAAGGAACUCUCUCUUUCUCUCCGCUCCUUUCAUUCCUCCUUCAACAACCUAACCCGAUAUCAACACUAUCUUCGUUUGAACACCUCCUAUGGUGGUUGUCUGCCUUAUACCUAACGGGGUGAAUCGCCUAAUUCCACUGUCAUUUCUGUUUUAUCAAAUCCAAGCAUUAACAAUUGAUAAAGUAAGUGUAGACUCACUCCUAUUCUGAUAUUUCUCUAAUACCAAACUCAAAACCAAAUAUAAAAUGUUAUCUAAACUCAACCAAAUCAACACGAAAACUACUACUAUCAUCCUUACAACUAUUAUGCUAAACGAUAUUCAUGUCAACAAAGAUAUUAUAAAGCUUACCCAAACUAUUAAAUUAGACAAUUUGAAUUAAAAGUUGAUUUGAAAUUAAAUGCUUUUAUCGUAUGUGUCAUUAAACGGAGCUUUCUACAUUAGCAUGUAACUUGUUAGAUGGAGCUUUCUAGCAGGCAGGGGCUUGAGCUUGAUCCCCACUUGGCUAAAGGGUAUAGUACCCUUUUCAAUCCCUUUGAAAAUUGAUUCUUAAAUAUUAUUCUUAAAAUUAGUCCACAAGUUUAUCUUACUCGAAAAAAGAUUAAAUUGUUCAAAAAAAUAAAAGUGUAAGGACUAGUUUUAACAGAUGGUAAACAUAGAAAAUUGCGUUAAAAGAAAUGGAGAAGGGAGGAAAACAGAGAGAGAAGCAAAAGAGAAUGCAAAAAAUAAGGAAAAAAAAAGAAGAAAAAAUAACAUAAAAGAAAAAAUGAAAUUUCUCAAAAUGAAAAAAUAUGGGGACCGAUAAUAGAAAUUAACCUAAAAUUUUUGUUUGUAAUGAUGAUUUAAUGUGCCACAUCAGUUUACCAUUUAUAUCGUUAAUGACAAUCAACGACGCAAUGACUAAAAUGUUACAGUGAGAUAACUUAAGUGACUAAAAUGUAACCUAAAGUAAACAAAAAUGACUAUUUUAGUUGUUUACCCAUAAUAUUACUUAUUUUAAUUACGGAAUGACAUUCAUAUAAUUUUUUAACCAAGUUAGUGACCGAUUGACUCAUACACCAACUUGAUCCGGAGUUUAAUAAUAGUAUAGAUAUACAACUGAUGGAACUAAUAGAGUGUGUAUAAUAAAAUUAAAAUAUAUACAAAUAUCAAAAUAAAAUUUUAGUUGAGUGGUAAAUUAAAUAUUUUAAAUAAUGCAAUUGGUGUGAGUUUGAAUCCCAUAAUAUCCAUAUUUUUAUCUCUUUUUUUACGUAAAAAGAUUAAAAUACCCUCAUAGUUUAAUUAAGAAUUGAUGCCCAACUAAUUCGUGACACAAACUCGACAAAAAAAUUAAAAGUAAUAUAGAUUUAAUUAAUUAUUAUCAAAAUUAACUCAAUAUAAAACAGUUAAAAAUCAGAAAAUAUCCGAAUUUAUAUUUAAAAAAAUAUGAAUAGAAAAAUCUAAGAUAAUUUCAAAAAAAAUUCCCACACAUGUACUUUAAUAUUUCCGAACACUGCCAAGCUUCAAUAGGCUAUGUAUACUAUUGUUUGUCAAAAGUAGAAAACGUGGGUGGAUUUUGCGUGAUCCUUUAAGAUAUGUAAGAGAUUGAGCAAUCUUACAAUUAUAUCAACAUUUAGUUAAAUUACGUGAUUAAUCUCUGUAUUAUGAAUUUAAUUCUUGUAUUUUAAUUUAUUUAAUUUUCAACUUUAAAAUUUUAGUUCUCAUCAAACCAUAAUUAUUACAUUCAUUAAGUUAAAUUUUGCUAUUUUCAAAAUUUAAUGCGAAAAACAUAUUACCAUAUAUGUAAUGCCAUGUCUUAUUAUUUUCAAAUAUUACUCACUAAAAAUUCAGUUAAUGGAUUAAUGACGGUCAUUUACGUCAAGAAUGAAAUUUUAAUUUUUAAAAAGUACAGGGAUUUAGAAUGAUCUAAUUGGAGAAUAUGGACUAAAUUUACAAUCGCACACAUAAUACAAGACUAAUAAUUGAAUUUAAACAAACGGAUUUAACUACUGUUUAUUGGGGUUAAGACUAGAAUUUUAAAAUUAAAAAAAAGUUUAAGAGACUAAAAUUCACCAAUUCAAAAAAUAUAAUGAUCAAAAUUAAUCAAAUUAAAAUGUAUGGGUUAAAUCUGUAAGUUUUACAAAGUAGAGGGACUAAUAACAAAAUUUAACCUUAAUUAAAGAAAUUAUUGUUCCUAGAGUGUGGGGGAAUAUAUAUAAUUGGGUAGACAGCAGGUCACAGUUUUCAUUUUUAGGCACCAAAAAUAAAAAUUUACAACUUUGGCACUCCUAAUUUAUCUUUUCCCUCAUCUCUGCUACUCACAUUCCAUUUCUUAUUUUAAUAUUGAAGUGGGAAUCUGGCGAUGGAUUAUUUCUAUUCACUCACAGCAACUUCAACGGUUGCAAUCGUUGCUUUUCCACUACUACUUUUCUCUUUUCUGUCGAUCUCAAGAAGAAACACAAACUCAAAGAAAACAGCACCAGAAGCAGUCGAUAUGUGUGAACUGUGAAGCACUUGGGAUAUCAAGUUCUAAAGCAACUUCAUUAGAAGUUUAUAUAACGUCUUCUUUUUUAUUUUAUUUUAUGAUUCCAUUAACUAAUUGGUAUUUUAAUUUUAUUAAAAAAUGAAUAGAAUUCAAUAAAUUUCUAAGGUACUAUACUCGUCAUGGAAUAAUACCAUAUGCAACUUUUAGUAUUUUAACUUUCUUGAAAAAAAAAAGUAGAAUUCAAUAAAUUUCAAAUAUUUCAGGGAAAAGUGGUUUGCCCAAGUAAUGUUAGUCAAUUUAAUGGUAAAGACAUGAAUGUCCCUUGCACGAUAUCAAAUCCACUGGACCCUUGAUCAGUCCAAUUCAAGGAGACGUAAAGUAUCGCACUACAUGUCAAAUCAAGACCAGCUCUUAACAACAUUUUGAUUGAUUGUUUUCAGAACAAGAAAAAUGGAAAAGAAUUGAUAAUGGAAAUGGAUUGAUCAUUGAUGUAUGAUGGGUGGGGACGGGGGAAAAGGGUACUUCACUUUACAUAAAAAAGAUCAUGAUCUUUGUUCAUCGCAAACAAAAUAUAGGCAAUAGAUUUAGCUAAUAAUAAAUUACAAUUUCUUAAAACAACUAUAAAUCCAACUCCCUCAACUUAAUUAAUUGGUAUGGAUUCAUUUUAUUCAACCCCAACCCCUUCAACCCUUGUGAUAAUUGUUUUUCCAUUAUUGCUAGUUUUUCUUUUCUUUUUUCUAUGGAUAUCAAAAUCUAACCCUACAAAUACAAACAAUGGGAAACUAGCAACAGAAGCGGGUGGAGCAUGGCCUAUUAUUGGCCAUCUCCGCCUCCUAAGAGGGCCACAACCACAUCACAUAAUGUUUGGGUUUUGACAACAAAACAAAGAGAAAAGAAGCAAAGAAAUGUAUGCAAAACAAAUUUGAACAAGAAGAAACUGAAAAAUGAAUCUGAUUAUCAUUUUAAAUUUUCAUUAAGUAAAAAACAUAUAGGUUACAAAGUUGUUACCUAAUGUGUAACCGCUCCCACUAAUUACUUGAUUAAAGUAAAGCUAAAAUUACACACAAAAUGUAGCUGACAUAUCAGCUAUUGUAUCACAUUGGAAAUCAUUCAAAUCAUCAACUAAUCUUUCUAGCUUUAAAUACAAAUUAGGUAAAAACUAAAGCUAGUUACAUAUAUAUGAACAAAAUGUUGCUGCUGUACUAGUUGAGCUUCAAUGCUUCUCUGCUGUUGCAUUGUAGGCCAAAGUUCAACACUCCUCCUUAGACUGUAUGCAACAAACACCAAUACUUCUUCUUAAGUUCUCAAAUCUUGUAGCACCGAGAGACUUAGUUAGUAUAUCAGCAAAUUGAUUCUCUAAGCUGCAAUGAAUCAAAUUAACUUCAUUUGAUUGUUCAGCCUCUCUAACAAAAUGAAAUUUUAUCUUAAAAUGCUUGGUUUUGACAUGAAAUACUGGAUUUUUGGCUAUGGCAACAGCUGACUGAUUGUCAACUCUAAUAUCAGUAGCUUCAGCUUGAUCUUCAUUCAAAUCACAUAAAAGUUUCCUAAGCCAAAUGGCUUGAUUAACAGCUGCAGCAGCUGCAAUGUACUCUGCUUCUUCUGCAGAUUGAGCAACAAUUUUUUGUUUUUUUGAACUCCAACAAAAGACCUUUGAGCCAAGAGUGAAGAAAUAACUAGAUGUUCUCUUCAUGUCAUCAAUGGAUCUUGCCCAAACACUAUCAGAAUACCCUAUCAACUUGAGUUCUUUUGCAUUCUCAAAUUUCACUCCAUAGCUCAAAAUCCCUUUCACAUAUCUAAGAACCCUUUUACCUGCUUUAAAAUGAACAACAUCACAGCAAUGCAUGAAUCUAGAAAGAAAACUAACAUCAAACAUAAUAUCAGGCCUAGUAGCUGUCAAGUAAAGCAGACAACCUACAAGGCUUCUAUACUUUUUCUCAUCAACUCUUUCAUGGUUGCCAUUGUUGGUUAGUUUCUCACCUUGAGCCACUGGUGUGCUAACUGUUUUACAAUUUGACAUACAAAAUUUGUUUAAGAUCUUCAAGGCAAAGGUCCGCUGACUUAUGAAGAUGGCAUGAUCAAUUUGAAUCACUUCCAUGACAAGAAAGUAAGUCAUUUCACCCAAGUCAGCCAUUUCAAAAACAUCUUGCAUCUGCACUUUGAACUCUUUAAUCAACUCUCUCUUGCUUCCAGUUAUCAACAAGUCUUCUACAUAGAGUGACACAAUCAAUAGGGUUUCAUUCUCUAACCUUAUUGUAUCUAACCUUGCAACAGGGGCAAAGGUUUCUUAGAAUUCAAUGCCAUAUUGUUGGCUAUAUCCCUUCACCACAAGUCUUGCCUUGUGUUUGUUUAGAAACCCAUCAGCAUUGUACUUGACCCUAAACACCCAUUUCACACCAAUAAUUCUCUUCUAUUGACCAGAUGUGUCCUCAAUAACAUAGGAGUUAUUAUUGAAAACAAGUGAAUAGCCUUUCUCUAUUAACUGACCAACACUAAGCAAAUUUUGGUCUAUAUCAAGUACAAAAAGGACAUCUGAAAUUGUUUUGUUACCUGAUUUUAUGUUGAUCACAACAUUGCCUCUUCCUUUGGCCUCAAUAAGGUUUCCAUCUCCAAUCCUAACUUUGGAAACAAAGCUUUUGUCAAGAUCUUUGAAUAACCCUUCAUCUGAUGACAUGUGAUGAGUGCAUCCACUGUCUACUAACCAGUCUCUUCUGACUUUGCUAGAAGUUGCAAAAUAGAAUGUAGUGAAAACAUGCUCCUCCCGAGCUUGAAUGUCCUCAGCAGCCUGAGCUUGAUUCUGUUGCUGAGUUUGUGCCCUUACUUUGUUCUUGCAAACUUUCUCAAUGUGAUCAAACUGCUUGCAGCUCCUACACUGAAUAUCAGGCUUGUGCCAACAGUACCUCUCUAAAUGUGUGGACUUUUUGUAGUGAAUGCAUGGUGGAAAUUUCUUCUUUCCUGCAUCCCUCUUUGGUCUCUCCCUCUUGUCAACAGAUGAUUUCUUUCUUUUGUAGCUCAAACUUAAGCUUUCUUUGACUUUUGCUUGAAAAGCUCUUUUAGGAUGCUCCUCCAGUUUGUUGGCCCUUCUUUGCUCUAAUGUAUACAGAGCAUUUAUCAAUUUAGAUAGUGAAAUGGUUGAUAAGUCUCUUAAGUCCUCCAGUGAGGAGAUUUUUGACUCAAAAUUUUCAGGAAGUGUUGUAAUGACCUUCUCAACAACUCUGCUCUCACUGAAAUCAUCUCCAAAGAGCCUAAUGUUAUUGACUGUGGUCAUUACCCUAUCAAAGUACUGCUUGAUUAUUUCAGACUCUUUCAUUUUCAAGUUCUCAAAGUCCCUCCUGAGGUUGAUCAGCUAUUGACUGGUCUUGUCUGACCCCAAAAACUCUUCCUUCAGCUUCUUUCAGGUUUGCUUUGGAGUGUCACAAGCCAUUAUUCGAGUGAAGAUCACAUCAGGACACUAUUUUGCAAGCAUGCUAUUGCUUUGUGCUUCUUGGCAUACUCUUCACUAUGCUGUCUGAUUUGUGCAAUGGUGGGAUUGGGCCUCAAUGCAGCUGGUUCUAUGUCAUUCUCAACCACAUUCCACAAGUCAUGUGCUUGGAGCUAAGUUUUCAUCUUCACUACCUAAAUGUGGUAGUUCUCACCAGAAAAGACAGAUGGUGGUGGUGGUGGUGUAAAGCUUAUGUUGUAGUAACAACAAAAAUAAUAGCUUCAGUUUCUUUUUCUUCAAGGUUCCUCACAAAACAGCUACCAACAACAAAGGCCCUCAAAGAUGACAGGCCUUGUAUACCAUUUGUAAGGGUUUUGACAGUAAAACAAAGAGAAACGAAGCAAAAAAUGUAUGCAAAAUAAAUUUGAACAAGAAGAAACUGAAAAAUGAAUUUGAUCAUCAUUUCAAAUUUUCAUUAAGUCAAAAACAUAUAGGUUACAAAGUUGUUACCUAAUGUGUAACUGCUCCCACUAAUUACUUGACUAAAGUAAAGCUAAAAUUACACACAAAAUGUAGCUGACAUAUCAACUAUUACAUCACAUUAGAAAUUAUUCAAAUCAUCAACUAAUCUUACUAACUUUAAAUACAAAUUACAUAAAAACUAAAUCUAGUUACAUAUGAACAAAAUGUUACUGCUGUACUGGUUGAGCUUCAAUGCUUCUUUGUUGUUGCAUUGCAGGCCAAAGUUUUACAAAUAAGCUUGGGUAACAUGGUAGAAAAAAAUAUGGAAGAACGUUCACUAUCAAGUUGGGUGUGCAUAGAGCUUUGGUGGUGAGUAGUUGGGAUAUUGCUAAAGAAUGUCUCACCAUAAAUGAUAAAGCAUUUGCCACACGUCCAAAGCUUGCAGCUUAGGAAAUUUUGGGUUAUAACAAUUCCGUGAUCGCCGUUGUGUCGUACGAACCUUUCUGGCGUCAAGUACACAAGUUUGCUACUGUUGUGCUCCUUUCUAAUCACCGGCUUGACUUGAUGUGUAGGAUCACCCCGAUUAAGCAACGAACAAGUAAAAAUAGUAGAAGAAAUUGAGAAGUUGAACACACAAAUUUAACGUGGAAAAACCCCUCCAAAGAGGAUAAAAAACCACGGGCAAAAAUAAUUUUACUAUAAUGGCAAAAGAACGAAGAGUACAAAAGAUGGAGAUAAAAACUAAACCCCAAAAAUCCGAAAACAAAGAACCCUCAAAACGUAAACACAAAAUUCUCUAAAUAUGUUAUGAGUUCUAAUCUAAUGGGUGUGUUUUUCUAAGAUUGUAAAAGAGCCUAUUUAUAGGCUAAAUUAGUAAGUCAAAUAAACUAUAUUGAUAAAUGCUAAAUUUAUUAUACUAAUAAAUACUAAAUCUUCUAGAAAUAAAACAUAUUUUUGUUUAACUUGACUUGCAAGCAAUCUCUUAGAAUUUGGGUCAUACAAUUCUAACAAUCUCCACCAUGACAUGAAUUCUUUCAACGCCAUCUUUGCCAAAACCCGCCACGGGCCUAUCUUGAACUAUGCAGGAAAUUAACUGAGUUGAAUCUAUGCUUAGAAGCUGGAAUACUUUUAGCCUUCGACUUGUGCACUGCCAAAUCAAAACUAACCCGGGUCUGAUUUUUACAAAUACAGUGCCCUAACUUUUCAAAACCUGCAUCCAAAAGAGAACCUCUCUUCAACAAAAUAGUCAUACCUUUUUCCCUCCUACGACCAAGUUGCCUCCGCUCAAAACGAGUUAACUUUGACUCUAUAACGGACGAGGGAUGUCCGAUUUCACCGGUCACUGUAGAACCUUCCAGAAUAUAAAGACUGCCAGUUCUUUUACCUUAUAACAAAACGAGAGCUCCACGAGAUAUUUUAAUGUCGUUAGACUCGAUGUUGAUUCUGCAUUCUUUCAAGUCUAAAAUACUUAAGGAGAUGAGAUUCUUUCGUAAAUCAGGUACAUACCUGACAUCUGAGAGUGUCCUAAUCGUCCCAUCAUGUAUCCUAAUUUUAACAGUACCAAUACCAAUUAUUUUACUAGAUGAAUCAGUUCCCUUGUGCACAACUCCACCUUCAAUUAAACUGUAUGUGGAGAACCAUUCUCUAUUGGGACAUAUAUGGAAAGAACAUCCUGAAUCUAGGAUCCACUCAGACGUAAGCUUGGAGUUAUCGCUCGUUGACACUAACAAGAAAUCAUCACCACCUUCAUCGACCAAAUUAGCAUCAAUUGCACCUUUCUCGUUAUUCUCAACAGCUCUUUUAUUUCGUAGUUUAUAACAAUCUGUUUUGACGUGACCUAACUUUUUACAAUAGCGACACCUUUUGUCUCGUUUCUUUGAUGCUACCAAAAUGGAAUCUUGCCUAUCUACUUUGCUAUUCAAACCAAAAUCAUUGUCGAGUUUGUCUCUACUCGACAAAUGACCCUUCACAUCUUCGAAUGAGAGUUUGUCUAUGCCAUAAAUCAGGGUCUCCCUGAAAGACUUGUAUGAAGAGGGUAAAUAGCACAAUAAUAGCAUAGCUUGAUCUUCAUCAUCAAUAUGAACCUUGACGUUCUUUAAAUCAUUUAAAAGAGUAAUGAAUUGGUUGAUGUGAUCUCUAAGAAGCUCACAUUCGUUCAUGGGAAACGUAAAUAGACGUUGUUUCAACUCUAAAUGGUUAGCCAGAGACUUAGUCGCAUAAAGAGUUUCUAACCUUUUCCACAAGGCGAAUGAGGUCUUCUCCAUCAAUACCAUCUGCAAUACUGUAUUCGCGAGGCACAACUAGAUUGCAGACAAUGCCUUUUCAUCAAGCUCUUCCCAUUUUGUUUGAUUUAGAUUCUCAGGAUUUUCCCUGUAAUAACCUUUUUCAAGACAUUUUGAACUAGAAUUGCCAUUAUCCGAACUUGUCACAGAUUGAAAUUUGUCUCACCAUCGAACUUCUUAAUUUCAAACCUUGUUGCCGUCAUAUCUAAAUGGGCUGAUAUAUGAAAAUUGAACUAUUUCUGAUACCACUUGUUAGAAUCGUCCCGAUUAAGCAACGAACAAGUAAAAAUAGUAGAAGAAAUUGAGAAGUUGAACACACAAAUUUAACGUGGAAAAACCCCUCCAAAGAGGAUAAAAAACCACGGGUAAAGAUAAUUUUACUAUAAUGGCAAAAUAACGAAGAGUACAAAAGAUGAAGAUAAAAACUAAACCCCAAAAACCCAAAAACAAAUAACCCUCAAAACGUAAACACAAAAUUCUCUAAACGUAUCAUGAGUUCUAAUCUAAUAGGUGUGUUUUCCUAAGAUUGUAAAAGAGCCUAUUUAUAGGCUAAAUUAGUAAGUCAAUUAAACUAUACUAAUAAAUGCUAAAUAUAUUAUACUCAUAAAUACUAAAUCUUCUAGAAAGAAAGUAUUUUUUUGUUUAACUUGACUUGAACUUGACUUGCAAGCAAUCUCUUAGAAUAUGGGUCACGCAAUUCUAACAUGAUGAAACAUGUACGGGAAUAUGAGAUAAAGACAUCUAUGUAAAAGUUAUAUCAGCUAUAGAACACUGAGAAAAGUAGUAAGAGUGAAAAAAUAUUGGUGGAUAUGAAGAGAAGGUUCAAAGGUGUUACUCUUAACAUGAUUUUAAGAGUUAUUUUAGGGAAGCGAAUACCGAAUUCAUACGAAAGAGGUGAAACCCUAAAAUGGAAUAAGUCAAUGGAUAACUUUUUUGAGCUAGGUGGGAAGUUUGUAUUAUCAGAUACACUGCCGUUUUUGAGAUGGUUAGACAUUGGUGGAGAGGAGAAGCUCAUGAAGAAGACGAGAAAAGAAUUAGACUAGGUUGUCGAGGGAUGGCUACGAGAGCACAAGGAAAAGAGAGCUGAAAAUGAUGUGAAUAGUGAUGAAGAUUUCAUGAGAGUAAUGUUGUCUAUUCUAUGUGAUAUGGAAAAGCAUGAUUUUGAUAUAAUCAACAAAGCCACAAGUCUUGUAUGGGCAAAUCUCCUUACCGCAAUCUUCAUUAGAACUAUGUUCAAAUUACACUUUUAAUGCCAUAAGGAAGUUAUGAUGUUGAAUAUUAAUUGUUGGUUUCAGGCUCUUAUCUUAGCGGCAGAAGAUAUCUCAUCAAUCACACUAAUGUGGGCUUUGUCUUUGUUACUUUAUAAUAGUGGUGCAACGAGAAAAGUACAACAUGAGCUAAAACAAUAGGAGCUAAACAUUCAUAUUGGUAAACAUAGAUUGUUAGUCAUAGAAUCAGACACCAAAAACUUAGUCUACCUUCUAUCAAUCAUUAAAAAAACAUUACGCUUAUAUCCUGCUAUUCUACUUUCGGGUAUCCAUAAAGCCAUUGAAGAUUGUACGAUUAAUGGUUUUUUUGUUUCAGCUGGUACUUAGCUUAUUUUCAAUCUUCAAAAGAUUCAUCGUCAUCCACUUGUAUGGGAAAACUCUUUGAAUUUUCCACUCGAAAGAUUUAUGACUACCCAUAGAAACAUUGAUGUGAAGGGACAAAAUUUUGAACUAAUUCCAUUUGGUAGUGGUAAAAGAAUGUGCCUUGGAAUUUCAUUUGCACUCCAAGUUUUAGAGCUUAUGCUAGGUAAUUUGCUACAUUAGUUUGAGUUUGGAACUCCAUCAAACGAUCCAGUCAAUAUGUCUGAAGCAGCCAGUUUGUCGAGUCCUAAAGCAACUCUAUUAGAAGUUCAUAUAACUCAUCGUAUUCCUACUUAUGUUUACCAAUAAUUAUCAUAAUUAAUUUUUUAGUAUUAUUACUAUUUAUAUAUUUUUUGUGGAUAUCAAAAUUGUUAGUAUAUUGAUUAUUUAUCGAACUAUUAUUAUAUAAACAAUCAAAAAUAAAUAUUUGGGCUGCUUGGUGCUAUUGGUGCAAUUGAAUUUGCUCAUUUAAUAUUUUUAUUUAAUUAUUUUUUUAUGAAUAAAUAAUUUUAUUCAAAAUAUGCAUUUCAAUAGUUAUGUUGAAAGAAUAUCAACGUACCAAAGCAUCUUAGAACGAAUGCCAAUUGAAACCUUAUCCCUGUAUUGGUGGAUAUCAACGUACUACUAAAGAAUUAAGUUGGAGCUGUUUACUAGGUACUUCUAAGAAAAUUUGAGAGAGUUCAUUUCAUAAAGAUACAAUUUUAGUUAAAUGAUAAAUUUAAAGUUGUUAUGCAUUCACUACACCAAAACAGGUUUUUAGCGGCGUUUUUUAGGCCUUUAGCGGCGCUUUUUAACGCCACUAAAGAUAUUUGCGGCGCUUCUUCAAGCGCCGGAAAAAAUGCCGCUAACGAAAACGUCGCAAAUGUUUGCAGCGUUUACAAACAAAAACGCCGUUAAAGACCAUGUUCUUUAGCGGCGCUUAGAAAAAAACGCCGCUAAAGAUCAUGUUCUUUAGCGGCGCUUAGAAAAAAACGCCGCUAAAGAACAUGUUCUUUAGCGGCGUUUGUAAAAAAAUGCAACUAAAGACCAUGUUCUUUAGCGGCGCUUAGGAAAAAACGCCGCUAAAGAACAUGUUCUUUAGCGGCGCUUAAGGGAAAACGCCGCUAAAGAUCAUGUUCUUUAGCGGCGUUUUUUUUCUAAUCGCCGCUAAAGAACAUGUUCUUUAGUGGCGCUUUUAUACAAAAACGCCACUAUUUUGGGGAUUUUUUUAUAUUAAAAUUUUCAUUUUUUCUGCCCUCCUGUAGCAAAAAUUCAAAAGCAACAUUUCAAAAGCAACCAAUAGCAAUAAAUUUAUAUAAUAUUUCAACAUAAGGGAAUAAAAUAAUAUUAAUAUCAAUAAAUAAAAGUGAAUUCAUAUUGUUUUUGCAAAAAAUGUUAAAUGUUAAAUGUUAAAAUGAUAAAAAUAUUUAUGUCAUACACUAUGAAGGUGGAAGUUGCGACUUAAACAUCUUCAUCAUAAUCUGAAGCUGCUGCUGAAGUUCGUCGUACUUUUUGCUCUACUCUGCUUCUCUUGCUGCAGCCUCCGCUUCCCUCACUGCAGUCGCUGCUUCCCUCGCUUCCGCCUCUGCUUUAAGUUGUAGCUGGAGUUCUUCAUAUUUCCUUUGAACCUCAAUUGUAGUCGCUUGCAUCUGAGCCAUUUGGUCUUUUAACCUCUGAACUUCAGCUUGAGCCUGACUCCCCGAAGCCAUGUAUUGGUGGGAGCUGGAUCCAAAAUAUUGGGUUGGGCUAACAAAAGAUCCUUGAAAUCGAACCCGACCAUACCUUUCAGGACCCAAAACUUCAGUAAUAAUCCGAUUAUCAAUAUCUUCAAGAUGAACCUAACUAUCACUAGAAGCAAUUGCUUCGUACUCCGCCUUUUUAUCAUUUAGUUUUUCCUAAUAAAUAUAUCACAUAGUUAGGAACACAAUAUUAUAUAUUGAAAAACAUAUGCAACAUAACAAUAGUCGCAUUAACUGCAAUGAAUUAAACCAUUAGAAAAUAAACACUAUAAAUAACUAAAAUAAGUCAAAUCGUAUUAAGUAAACGUACCAUUAUUUCAGCAGCUUCAGGAGUCAUGGGAGAUCCAUCUUUCUUCCUAUGUGUAAUUUCAAAAAGUUGAAGGCGUCCAACUUUUUGACCGGACGACCGUUCCUACAAUAUAGUAGUAUAAAUAUUAUUUAAUAGAAAGUUAUACAUAUUCGACAAUAUUAAAAAAUUUAAAAAUACCUCCGCCUCAGCUACACAUGCGAAACUUCUCGACCCGGCUGUGUGGGUGAAUUUUUGUUUCUGCCUGCUGCUUAUUUCAACUUGUUCACGAUCCUACGUUAUGAAAUUUUUUAGUACGUAAAUAGAAAAUACUAUAAACCAAAAUAAUUACAAUAGUUUAGAAGGACGUCAGACCUCGCCUUUAUUCGAAUGCCAAAAUCUAACCGCAUCUUCCCAUUGGUACCUCAACAUACCCGGCGGGACAUUUUGCAAUUUCUUAUCGAGGGUUGUUUUUGUCUUAUAAUAAUUUUUCUUCAAAGUACUUUUGUUGUCUCUCCAUCUUUUUCCCAAUGCCUUCUUUACAUAAGCAUCCGAGACCUCUAAAGCAAACCUCGCCUGCAAAAAACAAAAAACACAAGUUAAUAAAAUAAAUAUAAAUGAAACUAUUUCCCAAGCAUUAUAGAUGACAUUAACAUUUUGUUACCUUAAUAUUAUCGAGGGCUUGGUUUUUGUUGCUAUCGGGCAUUUGAUGCCAUGACUCGUAGUUUAUAGGUAACAUAUUCGGAUUUCGUGCUAAAAUGCCCAUGUAUCCAGCUAAAAGUCGAGCUUCUGAUCCAACAGGCUGACCAAAACUGUUUCGUCCAACUUUGACACGCUCGACUGAAUCUAACUCGUACAACUCUCUAAGUAGCGUACGUCCUCGACCUCUGCGCGUCCCACCAUUUUCAGCUACAAAUGGUAUAUUAUAAUAUAAGAAUUUGAAAAAUAAAUCAACUAUAACAGAAACACGCAUGUAAAUUAAAUGAAAAAUUACUUUGAACUUCUGUAGGAUCCUCAGCUGUAAUCGGAACAUUUGAAGAUCCAACUGCUGUCUGUUGUUCAGUACUAUUAGUUUCUGUCGAGUUUGGAUUAUUUUGAACAAUGCUUCCCCUUAGAAUUUUUCUUCUAGGCAUUUUAUCUACAAUACACAUAAAAUAGUUAAUAACUUAAUAGCUAAUUACAACAAUAACAGCACAUAUAAAACAGUUGAAACAUAUAAUAAGACGAAGAUUUAAAUUAUGAUAUUAUAUAUAAUUAAACAAUCGUAAAAUCUUACUACAUCAUUAUUCGUAAAUAUCUUCAUCGGUAUCCUGACGAACCCAUCCAAAUUGUGCACUAGUACUAGGGAUAUUAUCGUUUAAGUUUAGUUCUGGAAAGGGUAAAGUUACUGAUCUAUCUUCGAUGUUAUCUCUACUUCCACUGCCCAUAUCAAACAAGUCUCUAGGGAUGUUACGGAGUACAACGUACCAACCCUCAUCAGUUGGAUCUUUUGAGUAAAAAACUUGUUUGACUUGAGAUGAGAAUACAUACGGCUCAUCUAUCAGUUGUUGUCCUGUGUGAAUCAAUCGGUCAAAGUUCACCAUUGUAAAACCAAAUUGAUCUUGCUUAAUUCCACGAGCUGUAUUAACAUCGGCCCAAUCACCACGAAAUAAGACAACUUUCCAUUUGCCGUAGUAAUCCAACUCAAUUAUGUCAGUAAGUUGUCCGAAAUAUUCCACAUUUCCCUCGACAGGAUUAUUGUCCCUAGCACUAGCAUAACUCGUAAUUGCAGAAUUGACAACAAUUCCACAAUUUUGCGUUCUCCUCAACCUCUCGCGAUAUUUUGUAUGAAAUCUGAAUCCGUUGAUGAGGAACGCACUAUAUCUUUUAACCACUCGAUUUGGACCUUGGGAGAGCCAUUUAACAUCGUCGUCCGAAAUAAUUAAUGUUAUCUUCAAUACUCAAUUUUGAAUCAUAUAUGAAGUUUUAAAAUUAACUAUAAAGAUUCAUAAAACAAUUAUAUGGGGCGGGUGACAGUUUAUGAACAAUCUUUUAAGUGAGAUUAUUCAGCCGUCCAUCAAUGAACUUAGUCACUCCCUUUAUCCAACUUUUAACCAAAGGAACAUGUACAUGUUAAACUUCUUUAAUUGUAGGCUUCUUUUAGUUAUAAUCGACAUCAGAUUCAGUCGUUUUGAGGCUCUUCCAAGUUGGUUCAUUCCUAGGCUUUUAACAAAAUCUAACUUUUUGAAACCCCAUAUUGUACAUGAUUCAUCAUUUUCUUCAUCCCUUGCCAACAUUGUUUCCAAAAGAAAACAAACCAGAAAAAGCAAAAUCUGCUAAAGAACAGAACAAUAUCAGGUUGUUUAAUGUAUUAAAGGCAAACUAGAUUCCCCAAUUUGGUAAGAAAGGCAUAUAUUCUCGAUAACACAAUAACCAAGACUACAUAUAUACUGACAUAUAAAACAGUUUUGCUUAUUGUCCUAGUUGCCACAUAUGUUUAAAAGGAACCCAGAUUAAACUCUAGAAUCCACAGCCAUAAAGAUGAUAAUACAUUAGUUACCCAUUAGUUACCCACUAGUUACCCAUAGUUUGAGAUAUUCAAAUUUAGUUACCCAUUAGUUACCCAAAUACUACCAUUAGUUACCCUUUUAUGCUUCUCCAAAAAUCGCUGUAAUGGAGAAACAGCAGGCUAAGUUGUGCAAAACAUAACUCAAACCAACUAAAGGAGCAUUUGUCAUUGGCGAAAGCACUUUUUUUAUAGCUUCAACAAAUCAUAUCCGACUUUCCCAAAAUCGGAAGGUCUGUCCCUGUCUUCAAUCUUAACAAUUUCAUUUUCAUGGCCACGCCAUUGAUGCUCCUAGUUUUAUUAUUGGCUGUGUUUUGUAUUCGGGCAACCCCUAAAUAGACAAAAUUUUACCCCGAACAAACCCUUCUAUUUAAAUUGCUAAAUAAACAAUUCACAAGUUCCCCAAAUUCCCAAACAAGAAUGGUGUUUUAACCUAAACCGCAAACCCUAAAAUUUAAUUUUUUUUCUAAGCCCCAAAUUCGAAAAACACAAUGCACCCAAAACCCCAAAUCAAGACGAUGUUCUUCAGAAGGAUUAAACGCAUACCUUUUAACCAGAUAUUCUGCAACUACUGUCAAGAAUGGCGCAAUCGUUGCUUCCUCUUUGAUGAUUUCUGAUUUCUCCUCCCCUUUCUUCCUUAGAAUAUUUUCUUAGGUUUUUUCCCCUUCCCAAUCGGCGUUUUCACUUGCAGAAUAUUUUCUUUCUGUCUUUGUCGACGAGUGAGUAAAAAUGCUAAGUUAAAAGCCAUCUGCAGAAACGGCAUCGUUGAGAAAAAAUUUUAAAACACCUUUGCGGCGUUUAUAGACCAAACGCCACAAAAAAUUAAACCUUUUAACAGAAACGGCGCCGUUUUCUUAGUCUGAAAUUGCAUUUUUUGUGGCGUUUAAUAAAAACCGCCACGUAUACUUAAGCCAAACGUUGACGUUUUCAAUAAAUUAUUCUAAAAUUUUUCCAAGUUAAAAAUCUGUUCCGGAAACGACGUCGUUUAGCGAUUAUAUUAACACCGUUUUGUGGCGUUUUUGGUAAAAACGCCACUAAAUAUUACAGCUGUGAACAGAAACAACACCGUUUUCGUGGUCUGGAAUUGCAUUUUUUGUGGCGUUUUUAGAAAAACGCCACUAAAUAUUACAGCUGUGAACAGAAACGACACCGUUUUCGUGGUCUGGAAUUGCAUUAUUUGUGGCAUUUUCUUAAAAACGCCACUAAAAGUUUAACUAUUCAUUCGAAAACGGCGCCGUUUUGAAUUUUUUUAUUUUUUUAUUUCAUUUCUUAUGUAUUUGGUCAUAUAUAUAUAUAUCCAAAAUAAAUAAUUAUACCUAAAUAUAUAACCAUCCAUAUAAUAUAUAUCAAUAUAUUUUUUAACUUAUUUAUGAAUUCUAUUUAAAAUAAUUUUUAAAUAUAUCAAUUGGUACUUUAGAUUGAUUUUUUAAAAUAUUAUUUAAAUAAAUUAAUCUAAACUAACCUAAAAUCCUUAUUUGACCCCUAAACCCUAAAUCUUUAACCCCUAGAUUGCAACUUGUAACCCCUAAACCCCUAGCUAACUCUUACAUCCCAAACCCUAAAUCUGUACCCCCUAAUCCUUAAAAUAGCACGACCUCUUUUACGACCUCUUUUACAGUUAUAUAUAUAAGAACAUAUUUAAAAUAUAAUUUGUCAAUACUAAUUAAUCUAAACCCUAGCUAAACCCUAAAUCCUUAAUCAACUCCUAAUAACCCCUAAACAUUAUAUCUCAGCCCUUACACCAUAUCCCUAAAUCCAAUAUUAUAUAUAUACUCUUGAUCAAUUAUAAUAAUAACCUUAAAAUAGUAACCCCUAAACCGACUUAAAAUCUUAAAUUAAUAAUAUCAUAUAUAUACCCUUAAAACCUAAAACCCUAUAUUAACUAUAGUGAUACGCUUAAUUAAAUAUUUUAAAUUUAAAUUAAUACUUACUAUCUCUUUUAAUUACGAUAAUAAUUUCAAAUUUUUAAUAUAUAAAUUAAAACUUUAAAUAAUACUUUAAAAUUUAAAUUAUUUUAAAUAAUACUAUUUUAAUUUUUCCAUGUGUUUUAUUUCAAAUUAUUUAUACCUGUUAUUUUUUAUUGAAGAUUUUAAAUAUUCUAUUAGAAAUAUGUUUAAUUUGAUUCAAAUAAUAUAAAUAAUAGUUCAAUUAAGAUAAUUUUUUUUGCGGCGCAUAAACAAAAACGCCUCUAAAACACCUAGAUUAGCGGCGCUUUACAAAAACGCCACUAAUGCCCCCCCAAAGGACACAAAACGGCACCGUCUGGGAGUAUUAUUUGCGACAUUUUUUAUAAGCGCUGCUAAUGUUCACUCUUUAGCGGCGCUUUACAAUAAACGCCACUAAGUCCCCCCCAAAGGCCACAAAACGGCACCGUCUGGGUGUAUUAUUUGCGGCGUUAUCUAUAAACGCCACUAAUGCUCACUCUUUAGCGGCGCUUCGCAAUAAACGCCACUAAGUCCCCCCCAAAGGCCACAAAACGGCACCGUCUGGGUGUAUUAUUUGCGGCGUUAUUUAUAAACGCCGCUAAUGCUCACUCUUUAGCGGCGCUUUACAAUAAAUGCCACUAAGUCCCCCCAAAGGCCACAAAACGGCACCGUCUGGGUGUAUUAUUUGCGGCGUAAUCUAUAAACGCCACUAAUGCUCACUCUUUAGCGGCGCUUUACAAUAAACGCCACUAAGUCCCCCCCAAAGGCCACAAAACGGCACCGUCUGGGUGUAUUAUUUGCGGCGUUAUCUAUAAACGCCACUAAUGCUCACUCUUUAGCGGCGCUUUUCCUUAAACGCCACUAAUGCUCACUCUUUAGCGGCGCUUUUAAUUAAACGCCGCUAUUGCUCACUCUUUAGCGGCGCUUUUGCUCCAAACGCCGCUAAAAGUGCCGCUAAAAGCUUGUUUUGGUGUAGUGAUUCACCACUUCUCGAUCUACUCCUUACGAAAGCUCUACCUAUUAGUUGAACAUAUCUUUCGGGAACAUUCCUCGACCUAGUAAUCAUAUUAAUUUAUGUGAAUUCCACUCAUUAAUUGUCACUACUCAUUCUAAGAAGAUAGCGAAAGAAUUGGACCAAGUUGUGCAGGGAUGGUUACGAGAGCACAAACAGAAGAGAGUUGAAAAUAAGGCAAAUGGUGCGGAAGAUUUCAUGGGAGUAAUGUUGUCUAUUCUUAGUGAUGAUGAGGAACACCAUGCUGAUACAAUCAACAAAACCACGUGUCUCGUACGUGCGUCUCUUAACCAUUUUGGUCAAGAUUGCUAUUACUAACAUACGUAAGUUGGAAAUGUUAUUAUUUUAUUGUUGAUCUUUUUAUGGUAUAUGAUCUAACAUGACAUUGUCUUAGGUGCAGAGGAUACUACAUCGAUCACAUUGAAAUGGACCUUAUCUCUACUACUUAGUAAUCGUGACAAAUUGAGUAAAGUCCAACAAGAGCUAGAUGUCCACGUUGGUAAGGAUAGACUACUAGUGACUGAAUUAGACACAAAAAACUUAGUCUACCUUUAAUCCAUCAUUAAGGAAACUUUAUGUCUCUACCCUUCUAUUCCGCUCCCCCUAAUCUAUGAAGCCAUUGAAGACUGCACGGUUAAUGGAUACCAUGUUUCAACUGGUACUUGGCUUAUUAUGAAUCUUCAUAAGAUUCAUCAUGAUCCACUUAUAUAGACAAACUCUUUUUAAUUUCAACUUGAAAGAUUUAUGAAUACCCACAAAGACAUUGGUAUAAGGGGACAAAAUUUUGAACUUGUUCCAUUUGGAAGUGGUAGAAGAAUAUGCCCUAGAGUUUCAUUUACACUUCAGAUUUUGUCAUUUACACUAGCUAAUGUGUUGCAUUGGUUUGAGCUUAAGACUCCAUCAAACAAAGCUGUCGAUAUGCGUAAAGCACUUGGGAUAUCGAGUUCUAAAGCAACUUCAUUAGAAGUUUAUAUAACCCCUCGUCUUCUUUUUUUUUUAAUUUAUGAUUCCAUUAACUAAUUGGCAUUCUAAUUUUAUUAUAAAAAGAGUAGAAUUCAAUCAAUUUCUAAGGUUACUUGUCAUGUAAUAAUACCAUAUGCAACUUUUGGUAUAACAACCUAAUUUUCAGUGGUGUCAGAAAUAGUGAUUCAAGAUCACUAAAUCUGACUAGUGAGUUUUAAAAUUUAAUGAAUAAAUACAUAUGAGUCAAGUGUGAUUAUAGAAGAAUUUUGGAUUAGUAAAUUUUGUGAUUUAAAAACAAAUUAAUAAGUAAAUUUGGUCUAAAAUGAGGUAUCAAAACCUCGAACUCAUAAAUCGAGCCAUAAAUAUUUUUAGAAAUAUUUAUAGAGUGUUACUGAGUUGGUGUUAAAGUUUUGUUAGAAAAUUCUAACGUUUGGAUGGUCAAUUAAUUAAAAAGAACUAAAUUGAGAAUAGUGAAAAAUUUGUUAAAUUAUGAUUAAAUAGCUUAAGUGACUAAUAGGGAGGGAUUUAAAAGGCAAUUAGGCCCAAAUUAUAUGGGCUGGAUGGUUUGGGCAAGAAAAUCAGGAAGAAAAUAAGGAGAAACAAGGGAAAAAUUAGAAAUUUUGCAAAUUAAACAUAUAAAACAAAGACAAAAUUGAAAAAUCUAGAGAUUUCUUCAUAAUUCAUCAGCAAAAAUGCCAUAGGAGGUCUGAAACAGUCUGUUUUCUCAUAUUUUUAUACCAUGUGAGUUCAAUUCUUGCUUUUUCUUUGAAUUUUUUUAUGUUUUGUGACUUUUACAACUAGGUCCAACUAUUUAAUUCAUUAGUUUUUGAUUCCAUGGGUGAUUUUGUAAGUUACCAUGAAUAAGUGCUGGAAUUUUAUGAUUAAUUAUAAUAUAUUUGAAGCUUUAAUUUCAUUAUAUUUUGAUUUUAUUAAGUGAUUUUAGUAGAAAAUGAUUUUUAUGACCUAAUUGUGAAAAACCUAGGAAUUGGGGUGUUGUAUUGAAAUUAUGAAUAUCAAAGGCUGUAAUAUAGCCUAAAAUUAUUAGAUAAAGUGUUAUUUGAGGAAAAAAUUGUUCAAUUGAAAUGUUAAUUGAGUAGAGACUAAAUUGUAAAAAUUAUAAAUUUUGGAGUAAAAGUGUAAUUUCAAAAAUUAAAGGGCAUAAAUUGCGAAGUGAAUUAGUAUUGAAUUAUAUGCUAAUGAAUGGAAAAAUUUAUAUUAUAGAUCGAGAAUCUGAAGAUAAACAAGGAAAAGAAAAAGUCGUUGAUUAGUCCCUGAAAUAUUACAAUUCCUACAAAUUGGCCUAGGUAAGUUCGUACGGCUGAACGUUUAUGAUUAAUUGUUAAUGUGGUAAUGACAUAAUAUAUUAAUUCGUGUAUUGUUGUUGAAUUAUUAUUGUAAAAAUGUGAAAAUCAAAUUGUAAGUUCAAAUUAAGGGAUACGCAGGAUUGAGUAUGUACGUUUAGUAACCAGCGAUGAAUUAGCGAAUAAGUCCAUGGUGGAUCCAUGGAAAAGUGUGGAAUGUAGGUGUGGUAUUUCAGUAAAGUAAACCAUAUUGAGUUGUGAAAUGUAGGUAUGGUAUUUCAGUUAAGAUAACCGUACUGAGUCGAGAAAAGUAGGUAUGGUAUUUCAGUGAAGAAAGCCAUACUGAGUUAUAGCAUUGUAAAAGAUUCAAGCGAAUCGUGGCAUCGGGCAAAUGAUGUACUCAAAUCCGUAAGGCAAUCCUUAAUUAGACAAGUAUUUGUAAGUGCAAUUGAAGCUAAAUGUUGGAAUAUAAGUUUAUAUCUGAUAUUGAGCUCGAUUGAGUAAAUUCAUUGUUUGAGAUUGCGGUUGGCAGGAAAUGUUGUAUUAUACUUGUUUAUUAUAACUGGUAGUGAAAUUUUGGUAAGAUUUUAUUAUGAGCCUAUGAACUUACUAAGCUUUCUGUAAACUUACUUGUGUGUGUUUAUUAUUUCUUGUAGAUUGAUGUAUAUAUAUGUUCGGAGGAUCGGAUCUACAUCAAGGAUCACACUAUCCAGAUUUACUCCGGUAGAUUUUGUAAAACAACUUUUUGAUUUAUAUGGCAUGUGAAGGGGUUGAAGUAAUAAAAUAAUAGUAUGAAUGAUUAAGUAUGCAAAGUAAAUCUGAAUGUGAUGGUUGUGUUAGAUAUUGAAAUAUACAUGUUUUAGCUUGAAAUGGUUGAUAGGUUGGACUUUAUUAGUAUAUAAAUGUGUUUUUGUGCAAGAGGAUAGUAUGAGGGUGAGAAAAGUGGACUUAAAUGGUCCGAUUUUGUGUGUUUGAUUGUGUUUAAGUCCGAUAAUGCCUCGUACCCUGUUUCGGCAUCGGACACGGGUAAGGGGUGUUAAAUUUGGUAUUUUAACUUUCUUUAAAAAAAAAAGGUAAAAUUCAAUAAAUUUCAAAUAUUUCAUUCUUCUGAUUAAAUUUUAUCAUUGUUUCAUGGAAACUAAUUCUUUUAAAGUUCGUGAUAGCCAUUCCAAUAAUAUUCUCUCAAAAAUUUAAACUUAAAAUUUUCAUUUGGAAGUGUAUUAUGUUUUAUCAGGUUUUCUUUUUUGGUCCUUUAUUGCUGAGUUUAAUAGAGUAUUGAUUGCUUUAGUCUCGAAUAUUGAUCGACCACAGUGCCCUUUUCAAUUUCGGUCAAUUAAUUUGUGCAACAUUCUAAAUUAUUGUGAGUCAUAUUAGAUCGUUCUUGAAUAAUUGGAUUUUUUGAUCUAGUGUAUCUUUACAUAAUGUAAAAAUGGUAAAUGCAUAAUAAAAACUUUUAAUGAAUGGUCAAAACAAACAAAAGAGAAGUAGAUUGCACGAACUGCAAUAUGCUAUAAAUGUAUGUUUUUGUGAUGGCAACAUAAGAUUAAUUUAAUUUAUUUGUAUUAUUGAUGAGACAUAUAAUUAUUGAUGAGAAAUAUAACUAUCUGUGAUGCAUUGUUUAGGCAAUAAAUAGGUUGCAUUGUGGUACAUAUGUGGUAUGCAUUUUGAUUGCUUUUGUAGGAGUGUUUAUUGAUAUUUUACUUUGUAUUUUUAUAUUUUUGUGGUACGGAUUUUAUUGGAGAAUAAUCAUUGUUGGAAGUGAGAUUGUUUGAAGUGAAUGAUUGUAAUAUUAAGAGUAUCUUAUUAGGACUGCAAUUAUCCAUUGUAUAAUAGUAAGCUUGGACUUUAGCAAUAGGGUUUUAAAUCCAUUUUUAAAUAAAAACAUUUACUGAUUAAGGUUUUGCAGAGAUAAAUCCAAACUGUGUUAACAAACAUCACGAUUUGGGCGUUUGAUUAAUAAUGGUAAAGAAAAUUAAUUAGUUAUAUGUUUGAAGACAUUUGACUUCAGUUUGAGUUGAUUGAAAGUGUAGGUAUCUUCUUGGAAGCGUAUUAUCAUUGGGACUCUUUCUAAACCUCAUAACAUCAACUUAUGAUAUCAACUUGAUCAAAAAUUUAAAUAAUAUAAAUUUGAUUAAUAAUAAUCAAAAUUAACUCAAUAAAAACCAAGAAAAUAUCCGAAAAAUCCAAGAUAAUUUCAAGAAAAAUCCCACGCAUGUGGAUACGAUGUUUUAAAGUCCCAAAACUGAAAAUUUUGGGCACUGAAAAUAAAAAAUUUGCAACUUAUGGUCACUCAUUUUAUCUUUUUAAUUUCUUUUAAUUUUUUAUUUUUUAAGGAUCAAUUUUAAUUUUUUUUUCAGUAAAGGAGAAAAACUGAAAAUUUAGAGGAAAAUUCAGGUUAGAAUUUCCUUUAUUUUUUCUUUUUAGAAUUAAUUUCAGUUUUUUUCCUCAAUAAAAUGGAAGGGAAAAGCCUAAGAUUUUAUAGGGAAUUACCUAGGUUUAAUAGAAAAAGAUACUUUAGUUUUUACUGGAAAAACUAAUUUAUCUUUUUUAUUUUUUUAGAAUUAAUUUUAUUUUAUUUUCCAAUAAAAGGGAAACACCUAGAGCUUUAUAGGAAAUUAUUUGAGUUCUUAUUAAAGUUGGGCGACUAAAAAUGAGUAUGUUUAAUGGAAAAUUAAUGGUGGGUGACUAAAAUGAUAUAAAAGUAUGUAACGACAGUACCUAAAUUGCAAACUUUUAAAUUUUGGUGCCCAAAAUGAAUACUUAUAAAAGUUGAGUGACUAACUGAGUAUAUUUAAUGACAAAUUAACAGUGGGUGACUAAAAUGAUAAAAAAAGUAUGUAACGAUAGUGACUAAAAUGAUAAAAGUAUAUAACGACAGUACUUAAAUUGUAAACUUUCAAAUUUGGUGCCCAAAAAGAAUACCUAUAAAAGUGAGUGACCAACUGUGUGGUUUACCCUUUUCUUUAUUUUGCAUAUCUAUUUUAUUGUCUUUAUUUGGGAUUUGUAAUUGUUUUUUAAUAAUAUUCGUCUUGAAGGUUUAAACUCGUGUUUUCUUUCUUAAUAGUAUAACGUAUCUUACUACUACACCUAAUACUUGUUAGUGGUGAAAUGAAAAAAUAAAUAUGAAAAUUAUAUAUAUUUUUAAAUCAAUCCAUCAAAUAUAAACUUUAUUAUAAGAUAAACAUAAAAUGAUUUAUUUUAAAUAAUUUAUUGUAUACUAACAAAAUUUACUUGUACCACAUCAUUUGCAAUUUUAAACUUAAAAGCUUAAAAAAAAACACAAACACACACCAAAAAAAAAAAAAAAACAGAACACUUGUUUGAAUGCAAUUGGAUGAAGAAGUUGACAAUGUACGAGCUGCUAUGACAUGCACAUUCCUUGUCCAACAACUCAAACUCCCUUAUCUCUGCUACUCACCUUCCAUUUCAUAUCUUAAUCUUAAAGUGGGAAUCUGGCGAUGGAUUAUCUCCAUUCACUCACAGCAACUUCAACUGCUGCAAUCAUUGCUUUUCCACUACUUUUUCUUUUCUCUUUUCUAUGGAUCUCAAGAAGAAACACAAACUCGAAGAAAACAGCACCAGAAGCUGGUAUUAUUGGUCAUCUCCGCCUCUUAGGAGGAUCACAACCACCUCACAUAAGCUUGGCUAACAUGGCUGACAAAUAUGGAAGAAUCUUCAGUAUCAAGUUGGGUGUGCAUAGAGCUUUGGUGGUGAGCAAUUGGGAGAUUGCUAAAGAAUGUCUCACCAUAAAUGAUAAAGCAUUCGCCUCUCGUCCAAUGCUUGCAUGCUCGGAAAUUAUGGGUUACAACGGUGCCAUGAUUGGCUUUGCGCCAUAUGGACCUUAUUGGCGUCAAGUGCGUAAGAUUGUCAUUAUUGAGCUCCUCUCAAAUCACCGACUUGAAUUGCUUAAACCUCUGAGGGAAUCCGAGAUAAAGACAUCUCUGCAACAGUUAUACCAGCUGUGGAACAAGAAGAAAAGUACUAACUCCGAUAAAGUAUUGGUGGAGAUGAAGGGAUGGUUCAAAGAAGUUACUCUGAAUGUUAUUAUGAGGAUGAUUGUAGGGAAGCGACUUCCAAAUUCCAGUGAAGGAGGUGAAAACUUGAAAAGGAAGAAAUAUUUGGAUGACUUCUUUGAACUGAGUGGAAAGUUCCUAAUAUCAGAUGCGUUGCCGUUUUUAAGAUGGUUGGACAUAGGUGGAGACAUGAAGUGCAUGAAGAAGACAGCGAAAGAAUUGGACCAAGUUGUGCAGGGAUGGCUACGAGAGCACAAGCAGAAGAGAGCUGAAAAUAAGGCAAAUAGUGAGGAAGAUUUCAUGGGAGUGAUGCUGUCUAUUCUCAGUGAUGCGGAGGAACUCCAUGUUGAUACAAUCAAUAAAGCCAUCAGUCUCGUACGUGCAUCUCUCUUAACCAAACUGAUUGCCAUUAAUAUCAUACAGAAGUUGGAAAUGCUAUUAAUUCAUUGUUGAUUGCCAUUAAUAACAUACAGAAGUUGGAAAUGCUAUUAAUUCAUUGAUUGCCAUUAACAACGUCAGUUACUCUGACAUGGGCUUUGUCUUGUUACUCAAUAAUCGUGACACAUUAAGUAAGGUCCAACAAGAACUAGAUGUUAAGGUUGGUAAGGAUAGGUUGGUAGUGACGGAAUCAGACACCAAAAGCUUAGUGUACCUUCAAUCCAUUAUUAAGGAAACGCUACGCUUAUACCCUGCUCUUCCACUAUCCCUGAUCCAUGAAGCCAUUGAAGACUGCACAGUUAAUGGAUAUCAUGUUUCAGCUGGCACUUGGCUUAUUAUAAAUCUUCAUAAGAUUCAUCGUGAUCCACUUAUAUGGGCAAAUCCCUCUAAAUUUCAACCUGAAAGAUUUAUGACCACACAUAAAGAUGUUGAUGUGAGGGGACAAAAUUUUGAACUGAUUCCAUUUGGAAGUGGUAGAAGAAUGUGUCCCGGACUUUCAUUUGCACUUCAGAAUUUGUCACUUAUACUAGCUAAUGUGUUACAUUGGUUUGAGUUUGAGACCUCGUUCGAUGAAGCCGUUGAUAUGCGUGAAGCACCUGGCCUGACGAGUUCUAAAGCAACUCCAUUAGAAGUUCAUAUAACUCCUCGUAAUCCUACUUAUGUUUAGCAAUUAUUAUAAGAAUUAACUUUUUAGUAUUAUUACUAUUUAUAUCUUUUUUGUGGAUAUCAAAAUUGUUAGUAUAUUGCUUAUUUAUCGAACAAUUAUUAUAUACACGAUCAAAAAUAAAUAUUUGGGCUACUUGGUGCUGUUGGUGCAAUUGAUUUUACUGAUUUAAUAUUUUUAUUUUAUUUUUUAUUUUUGAAUAAAUAAUUUUAUUCAAAACAUGCAUCUCAGUAGUUGUGUUGAAAGAAUAUCAACGUACUAAAGCAUAUGAGAACGAUGGUCAAUUGGAACCUUACCCCUGUAUUGGUGGAUAUCAACGUACUACUAAAGAAUUAAGUUGGAGGUGUUUACUGGGCACUUCUAACAAAAUUUGAGAGAGUUCAUUUCAUAAACAUAUAGUUUUAACUAAAUGAUAAAUUUAGAGUUGUUAUGCCUCUACCACUUCUCAAUUUACUCCUCACGAAAGCUCCACUUAUUAUUCGAACAUAUCUUUCGGGAACACUUCUCUACUUAACAGUUAUAUUAGUUUAUGUGAGCCUCACUUAUUAAUUGUCACUAUUCAUCUUUACUACCGUAUUUCAUCUCAAGUGAUUAAAAGCACUAUCAAUCCCCAUUCUACCUACACAUAUGGUGAUAGACAAUAUGGCCCCUUUUCUUGACUUGUUAAUAGAGACGUGACACGUGUAUCUCAAAAUUGUAGCUAAGGGUUUAAAAUACCUCAAAAUUGACUAGAAAAUGGCGCUCUCUCUCUCUUCCCCCCUCUCCCUCCCUCUCUCUCUUAAUAUACAUCAUCUACAUAAAUAGAACAUAAAAUUCAACGGUUGACUUAUUAAGAUAUUAAUUGUAUAAAAAAAUUAUAAAAAGUAUAAUAUCACUAUAAUUUUUGAUAAAUUAUAAAUAGCACGAGUCAAACCAAAAUCUCACAUAAGACAUUAAACACCCUUAACCAUCAAACCAAUACAUAAAGUUUAAUAUCAUUAUAAUUUUAUACUAAUAUAAGUGUAUCAUUUCCCUAUAUUUAAUGAUGAUAAUAAUAGACAAGAAUAUUAAUUUCGUGGAAAACAAUAAGUGAACGAAUUUCCUUUUUCAUCUUCAUUUUUUAUUUGGAAAUAAAAAUGUGUUCCACGAAGAUUACCAGGCUGGUUUUGUUAAUGUAGAAAAUAACGUUCUGUUUGUUUUACGAAAAAUGUAUUCAAAGUUUGAUUCAUGGAAAAUAGUUUGAUCAAUGGAAAAUGACUUAUAAGUCAACUGAAAAUAAGUCAUUUUUCUUGUAAAAUGACUUAGCGUAAAUCAUUUUUUCGGAGAAGAACUCAUUUAUAGGUAAUUUUACUUUCAUAUAAAAAAUAACUUUUAGUCAAGCUUAAUAUUAUUAUAUUAAUAAUAAAUUUUAUUUUUAUUUUUAAAAAUAUUUAAAAUAAAUAAAAUAUUAAUAUAACAUAUUAUAAUUUUUAAUAUUAUUAAACAUACAUAUUUAAUUAUCUCUAUCUAAUCAUAUAAUAAAUUAUUAUUUAAUAAAUUAAUUUUAUUUUAAUAAUAAAUUUUGAAAAUAAUAAUUUUAAAUAAUUUCAUAUAUUAUUGAAAAAAUUCAAUAUUAAUAUUUUGAUAACAAAUAUUUAUUACAAUUAUAAAUAUAUUAAUAAUAAAUGUUUUGUAGUAUAAAGUUUAAAAUAUGUCAUAAGUCUAUGUACUCUUUACAAAUUCAGAAUUAUAAAGUUUAAAUAUUUAGCCCAUCUACUCUUCAGAUUUGAAAAUCAAGUCCAAUUGUUAACAUUGCUUAAUUUUUUUUGUUAAUUUUGUCGAUUUUAAAUUUUCAAACAAAAAAUAUUCACUUGAUAGUCAUUUAACUAAAAAAUGAGGUUAUAAUUAACCUGAAUUUAAUAGAAUAUUUUUAGUAGUAGUAACUGUUGAGCCUGAAUUUAAUAUCUAAAAAGUAAAACUAAAUUUUCAAAAAUAAAAGUAAAUGGGCUAAAUAAUAUAAUUUUAUAAUAUGAUUCCACAAAUCUAUUAUUUAUGUUAUUUUAGAUAUUUAGUUAGCGAGAGAUGGUAGUGGAUCGUCAAGGAAAAGUGGUUUGCAAUAUUUGUCUUUGGGUUAAUUUAAUUAAUUGUCCCUAGAGUAUUAAUUAGACUUCAAAUUAGUUCCUAAAUUUUAAAAUAUUUUAUUUAAAUUCUUAAAAUAUUGGUAUCGAACAAAUCAUAUCAUUACCUCAACUUAACCGCUAAUUUAGAUGUUGAAUAAUAGUUUGAAUUUGACAUAGAGCAUAUUCAAAUUACGAGCAACAAAUUAUAAACACAUGUAAACUUAUCACAUAAACAUGUUGGAUAUGAAAAAUAAACGGUAUAAAAGAAUUUAGAAGUGUAAUUUUUUUAAGUUGUUAUUGUUUGUAUUCUAGCUUAAUAAUUGAGUAAUAUUAUAUAUUUAAUUUGAUGUAUUUAUUUAUAAAUAAAUUAUUGUAAUAUAUGAAAAAAAACAUAAAAUAUAUAUUUAUAGAUAUAAAAUAAAUUCAAUUAAAUAAUGAAAAUAUAAAAGAAUCUUAAAUGUAUUAAUUGAAAACAAUUUUUAUGAAAUAUUUUCAGGAAAAUUACUAAAUAAUCGAAAAUAUUUAUACUGAUUUAUUUGAACACCAUAAAAAAUUAAAUUUUUUAUAAAAAUAAAUCAUUUUUCAAAAAUCUUUUUUUUUUGGAAAUCAUUUUCAAGAAAAUAAAUGGAGCCCAAGAUUGGAAUUAGUAUAACCUGUCGUCUUUCUUCACAUCGCAGUACUUCGUUGAUUUUCUUAUAUGGCUUAAAAAUUCCAAUAUCAGUAACGUAUGUUAGUGAAAGAUCAAUAUACGAUAAUUACGUCAACAACACAACAAUGCAUAUAUAUGCAUUGUCUGUAUCUUAGAUUGAAAGUAGAAAUUUGGCGAUGGAUUAUUCCCAUUCACUCACAGCAACUUCAGCUGUUGCAAUCAUUGCUUUUCCACUACUAUUUCUUUUCUCUUUUCUAUGGAUCUCAAGAAGAAACACAAACUCGAAGAAAACAGCACCAGAAGCUGGUGGAGCAUGGCCUAUUAUUGGUCAUCUCCGCCUCUUAGGAGGAUCACAACCACCUCACAUAAGCUUGGCUAACAUGGCUGACAAAUAUGGAGGAAUCUUCAGUAUCAAGUUGGGUGUGCAUAGAGCUUUGGUGGUGAGCGAUUGGGAGAUUGCAAAAGAAUGUCUCACCGUAAAUGAUAAAGAGUUUGCCUCUCGUCCAAAACUUGCAAGCUCGGAAAUUUUGGGUAACAACAGAGCCAUGUUAGGCUUUGCACCAUAUGGACCUUAUUGGCGUCAAAUACGCAAGGUUGCCGCUAUUGAGCUCCUCUCAAAUCACCGACUCGAAUUACUUAAACAUGUAAGGGAAUCCGAGGUGAAGACAUCUCUGCAACAGUUGUAACAGCUGUGGAACAAGAAGAGAAGUGCUAACUCCGAUAAAGUAUUGGUGGAGAUGAGGGGAUGGUUCAAAGAAGUUACUCUGAACGUGAUUAUGUGGAUGAUUGUAGGGAAGCGAAUUCCAAAUUCCAGUGAAGGAGGUGAAAACUUGAAAUGGAGGAAAUCGAUGGAUGACUUCUUUGUACUAAGUGGAAAGUUCUUAAUAUCAGAUGCUUUGCCGUUUCUGAGAUUCCUGGACAUAGGUGGAGACAUCAAGUUCAUGAAGAAGACAGCGAAAGAAUUGGACCAAGUUCUGCAGGGAUGGCUACGAGAGCACAAGCAGAAGAGAGCUGAAAAUAAGGCAAACGGUGAGGAAGAUUUCAUGGGAGUGAUGCUGUCUAUUCUCAGUGAGGCGGAGGAACACCAUGCUGAUACAAUAAACAAAAUCAAUUGUCUAGUACGUGCAUAUCUCUUAACCAAAUAGAUUGUAAUUAAUGGCAAUUUUUUUUUGGUCAAGAUUGCUAUUAAUAACAUACAUAAGUUGGAAAUGCCAUUAUUUCAUUGUUGAUCUUUUCAUGGUAUUUGAUGUAACAGGGACUUGUCUUAGGCGUGGAGGAUACCACAUCCAUCACAUUGAUAUGGGCCUAUCUUUGCUACUCAAUAAUCGUGACAAAUUGAGUAAAGUCCAACAAGAACUAGAUGUCCACAUUGGUAAGGAUAGACUUCAGACACAAAAAACUUAGUGUACCUUCAAUCCAUCAUUAAAGAAACUCUACGCCUAUAUCCUCCUGCUCCGCUCUCUGUGAUCCAUGAAGCCACUGAAGACUGCACGGUUAAUGGAUACCAUGUUUCAGCUGGCACCUGGCUUAUUAUGAAUCUUCAUAAGAUUCAUCAUGAUCCACUUAUAUGGGCAAAUCCUUUUGAAUUUCAACCUGAAAGAUUUAUAACUACCCACAAAGACAUUGAUGUGAGGGGACAGAAUUUUGAACUAUUUCCAUUUGGAAGUGGUAGAAGAAUGUACCCCGGAGUUUCAUUUGCACUUCAAGUUUUACAGCUUACGUUGGCUAAUGUGUUGCAUUGGUUUGAGUUUGAAACCCCAUCAGGCAUAGCAGUCGAUAUG